AACUGGGGAUGUUCUGGCGGAGAGUAUUUCAUUGCCUGUUUAGCAGCAGCUGAGACAGACUGGGUGACCACUCUUUGAGACCAUUAAUUUGCCAUCUGUGAGGAAGUCUUUCCCCACUGACCACCUCGCUCCAGCCUUUCCCCCUCAAUAACCCAAUACAGCUGGAAAGCCACUGCUGUGUUGUCACCAAACAGGCGAGAUGGGCACGGUGACCCAGUGCCAAAAACCUGUCAUGUCUGUUUUUCACCAUUUCUGCUCCCUGCAGGCAUCUUCUACGCAGCCAGUAACUUGCUGCUGUCCUCUGGACACCCGUCAAGCCGAGGAUAUGGUUAUGUUCUGCAUGCUGUGAUGCUUUUAGACAGCCACAGGGAUGGUUUUGCAGCAGAUGUCCGACAAGUAGUAGUACAAAAGUCAAUCCCACUUACUCUGAGAGCUUGCUGCUGUGCAGCGUGUGUGGUUGGUGGCAGCUGCUCUUUUGGCUGAUGCCUGAAAGGGUUAAGCUGAGCAGUUGCCUGGAUGGAGCUCUUGAAUUGCUUCACUUCCCUUCAUCCACUCCCUCUGUGAGUAUUUAUGUAGCAGCUGUCUGGGAGCUGUUCCACCCAGACUUCCCCUCGUGUGGGCCUACAAAAACACACCGUUUUGGGCAAAGUUUCCAUUGUCACCUUUACACAGCCCAGCUGAAAGCCAGAGCCAGCCUUUGGUGCUUGAAAUACGCAAAUCAUCUGAAUGGAGGAGAAACUUCCCUGCUAGCUGAAACAGGCAGAUCUUACAGGCCCUCUCAGCUUCUGAGGGUGCUGAGCACCAUAAGGUCCUGCAAGGAGGAGAAACUCCUUGUGAUGUGUUGCGGGCCGGGGGGUGGUCGUUGCUUCUCCCCUUUUGUGAAUCCACUCCGCCAUGUGUAGAUGCUUGGUCCAUGCAAUGAGGAAGGCUGCCUCAGGGGUCAGCAGCCAGAUGGUUUUCAUCCUAUGAAAGCCUAGAAAUAUCCUUUUUCCUUCUAUCUUCUCUGAAAGACUGUGGUUGCUUCAGAGGAUGUUGUUGCUUUCGUCCUGGGGCAAUAGACAUGCUUUUCCGUUUCAGUGUCGUCUGAUGCAGGCCUGUGGCUGGGGAAGGCCCCUGCUGCACGUUGGGCUCACCAGGAACCAAAAACAACAGAAGAAACAGCUUCUGAGCCAGCCAGUAGUGCGUUCCUUCAAUGCCUGUUCAGGAUGCAGAUAGAGGCAUCGUCUGCAGGACCAGGAGGAGCGUGGGGAUGAACUUGCCCCAUAUUUCUACCAGCAAGGCUCCACCAAAAGGCACUGCUGACCUCCCCCACUAUCUGUCACACCAGCGAGGAGAGGAUGGAGCUGAAGGAUCCCUGAACAAGCAGUGACUUGACCAAGGGGGUCCUCCUGCAGCACUGCCUCCCGUGUGUGUCCAGCCGUGCCGCAGCGUGCCCCCGGAGCAUCGCAGCUCUCUCGUGGCAACAGCA